GCGGCGUCAAACAGGAAUUAUAUCACCUUCAGAAGGCAUAUCAAAGUUGUGAAAUUGCUGAAACAGUUUUGAUCCUAGCAAAUUGAUAGUGAGCAUGGAGAAUCUGGUUCAAAGCUAGUUGAUUCUUAUAAAACAGUUUAAUGAAAUCUAACCGAGCUGAAGAAUUUGCAGGUAAUUAAACUCGUGUUAGCUUGUUUAUCUGUUGAUCAAACUUGCAAUAUUUGUUUCCGAUACAGAAUUGUUGAGUUGAUGGAAAUAUCGUCUCGAGAACAAGACCCACCCAAGGAGCAGCCCCUUGUCUGGAUUUGAAGAACUGUGGACAAGGUACCACCUGAAGACAGCAAUACAGCUAGCCGAGCACAGAAAUAAAUGAUGCCUUUCUGUUAAAUGCAAAAUUUUGAGCUAAUGGAUACAAAGUACAGUCUUUUCUAUUUCCACAUUGUGGUCAUAAGAGGACAUUGAUGUACAAGUUCUCCUGUUUUGUUAAUUAGCACUGGAAAGUUAAAUUUUACCUCUGAUGUUUCCUAUAUUGCACGUGAUAGUGUUAAGUACUUUUCGGUACCAGUAUAUAAAUAGAAGCAACAUAAAUCUUUCAUAAUUGUGAGUUGGUUGCAUAUAAAUAGGUGAAAGAUGUAAUGAAAAAGGAUGAGGAGCUCCCUAUCUGCAACGAAGAAGAUCUGAUAAUAGAUCAGCUUGUUGAGCUGAGUAGCAAAGGAUGUGGAUGCCUUCUGGUUAUCAACAGUGACAACCGUUUGAUUGGGACUUCCACAGAUGGAGACCUGCGAAGGACUCUAAAAUCUCAUGUUGAAGACAUCUUUAAGCUUACAGUUGGCGAGGUCUGCAACAGGAGUUCAAAGAACUAAUAAGCGUGCAUGAAAUGGCGGUGGAAGCAAUGCAGAAGAUGGAAAUGCCUCCCUCUCCAUGGUCUAGUCUCAGCAGGGUUGUAAAAAAAUUUAGCUUUAUUUCCUUGUUUGAUUUAGCUUUAUCUUGUUAUCCUCAGUUUCGAUGAUUUAGGUUUUCAGUUCUUCGGGUUAAUUUCUAGGCGUGCGUGGGUUGAAGGGUUGAUGUACGUUUGAACCAGUAGCGGCAUCCCAACUCUUCAAGUUUGUUA